AGGCAAUGAUGUCCAAUUUUUACCAUCAAACGAUGAAAGCCUCUGUUUCAAGCUUGUUGAUGUUAAAUAAAUCAUUGCUCUCUGAGCCU